rnacentral:sRNA from 1 species
CCCUAGCCCGGAUGGGAGUGGCAUCCUCUUGGGGCGGGGUUCGACCCAAGAGAUAGAACGGACAGCCGGAAAUAGC